GGCGUGGCCACACUGCCGGCGGAAGUGGAGCCCUCCGCGAGGGCGCACGGCCGCCCGGGACGGGCGAGAAAACUGGACUGUAGGGUUGGGCCGAGCCAGCAAUGGGUACGCGGGCGAACGGUGCAAAGCUGUACGCGGACUCGCGAGGCACCGAGAACGCAGCGCAGCGGCGGUGGGGAGAGAAGGCGCCCGGCAGCCGGGCUGCCCGCGCAGAGAGCAUCAUGGCAGAACAGGUGGCCCUGAGCCGGACCCAGGUGUGCGGAAUCCUGCGGGAAGAGCUGUACCAGGGCAAUGCCUUCCAUCAAUCUGAUACACAUAUCUUCAUCAUCAUGGGUGCAUCGGGCGACCUGGCCAAGAAGAAGAUCUACCCCACCAUCUGGUGGCUGUUCCGGGAUGGCCUUCUGCCCGAAGACACCUUCAUCGUGGGCUACGCCCGCUCCCGCCUCACAGUGGCCGACAUCCGGAAACAGAGCGAGCCCUUCUUCAAAGCCACACCAGAGGAGAAGCCCAAGCUGGAGGAGUUCUUUGCCCGCAACUCCUAUGUGGCUGGCCAGUAUGACGACACGGCCUCCUACGAGCGCCUCAACAGCCACAUGAAUGCCCUCCACCAGGGGCCCCAGGCCAACCGCCUCUUUUACCUGGCCUUGCCCCCCACAGUCUAUGAGGCAGUCACCAAGAACAUCCACGAGACCUGCAUGAGCCAGACAGGCUGGAACCGUGUCAUUGUGGAGAAGCCCUUCGGGAGGGACCUGCAGAGCUCCGACAGGCUGUCCAACCAUAUCUCCUCCUUGUUCCGCGAGGACCAGAUCUACCGCAUCGACCACUACCUGGGCAAGGAGAUGGUCCAGAACCUCAUGGUGCUGAGGUUUGCCAACAGGAUCUUUGGCCCCAUCUGGAACCGGGACAACAUCGCCUGCAUCAUCCUCACUUUCAAGGAGCCCUUUGGCACUGAGGGCCGUGGGGGCUACUUUGAUGAAUUUGGGAUCAUCCGGGACGUGAUGCAGAACCACCUCCUGCAGAUGCUGUGUCUGGUGGCCAUGGAGAAGCCUGCCUCCACGGACUCCGAUGACGUCCGUGAUGAGAAGGUCAAGGUGUUAAAAUGUAUCUCAGAGGUGCAAGCAGACAACGUGGUCCUGGGCCAGUAUGUCGGGAACCCCAACGGAGAGGGGGAGUCCACCAAAGGGUACUUGGAUGACCCCACCGUGCCCCGCGGGUCCACCACUGCGACCUUUGCAGCCGUUGUCCUUUAUGUGGAGAACGAGAGGUGGGACGGGGUGCCGUUCAUCCUGCGCUGCGGCAAAGCGCUCAACGAGCGCAAGGCUGAGGUGCGUCUGCAGUUCCGCGACGUGGCCGGCGACAUCUUCCAGCAGCAAUGCAAGCGCAACGAGCUGGUGAUCCGCGUGCAGCCCAACGAGGCCGUGUACACCAAGAUGAUGACCAAGAAGCCCGGCAUGUUCUUCAACCCUGAGGAGUCCGAGCUGGACCUGACCUACGGCAACAGAUACAAGAACGUGAAGCUCCCCGAUGCGUACGAGCGCCUCAUCCUGGACGUCUUCUGUGGGAACCAGAUGCACUUUGUGCGCAGUGACGAGCUCCGGGAAGCCUGGCGGAUCUUUACACCGUUGUUGCACAAGAUUGAGCGCGAGAAGCUCCAGCCCAUCCCUUAUGUUUAUGGCAGCGUCUACACUGAGAGAAGCAAAUGAGAGAGCUGUUGAGGACUCCAGUGGCACCUCAGCUAUGGCACAGGUAAGAGCACCCAGAGGAGACAUUCUGUGCUACGUCACGCCCCUUGCCUGCACUGGGGCAGGAGGAGACAUGAGGGCCUAGGACAUGAGAGUGUAAUCCUCUCUAUGUCCUGACUGAAAAGCAGUCCCAGAGGAAAUAAGGGAGUUGUGCAAGGCUGCCCCAGAAGGCCCAGAAGAUCUGGAAUUGGAUCCCAUCACUUAGGUGGUGCCUGUGGGGAUGGUGGAUGUGCCUCUGGACCCUCAGGGGGACUCAUUAAACCAAACUUUCUGAAAUGCCUGCUCUGAGCAAGAUGUAAACACUUGUCUCUGAGCUACCAGUCUGGCAGGUGCCCCAUGCCUGGCUGGCCGCCCAAGAGUGUGGGUAGCCAGGAGCUCCCUCCACUGGGCACAACUACAAGCAUUGCAGGAAAGACCCGUCGUACCCAGGGUUCCCUACUCACAGAUCUGUACGUUUGACGGAUGGUCAGCAUUAUCUCUGAUCCCAAGUUCAUGAAAAAGAAAAAAAAAAAAAUACUAAUCCCCGACUGCAGCAGCAGGGGCCUGAAACUGACUACCUUGAUCUUGUAUGUUGUGUAUACCAACGGAGAAGCUACUGGAUUCUAGCCAGAGCUGUCACUGCCUGGCACUACAAGCUUUAUCUAUUUUGGAUUCUUUCCUUAGGAAGGUUCCCGUAAGUGGGAUGAUUGGGUCAGAGGGCACAGAUGCUUCCUGGGCUCUCAGGCCGCCGGGCUGCUGCCCUGCAGGGAGCGAGGCGGGUGCCGCUCUGCUGGUGCGUUGGGCGGUGUCACGGCUGCCUUCCCGCCUCGGGAGGGCAGGAGGGGCGCGGGCAGGAGCUCGCCGCCGUCGGCGACACGCGAGACCGUGUGGACGUGCUUCCGUCUAGAGAACAGUAUCCAUCCGCUUCGCCCAGGCUUCAGGAAUCCGACUGCAGGCCACGAGCUCAACCGCAGCCCUCGAAGCCUAGGAAGGCUGGCAUCUCCCACCUUGGAGGAGCCUGAGGGGAGACUUGUGCUUCAAAGCCGACG